UUAAAUGCGUGGGCAUUUGUCCGUACUCUUGGAGAGAUAAACCGACUGAUUGCACGUCCUAUACGGUUACUGAGGUCAACUUGAUUCUAUGUGUAUAUUAAAAUAUAUACAUGACUCGGGAGAAACCUACACAAUAUAAAUAGGCGUAGGUACGGCCGGUAAGUCAUUCGAAGCAAAUACAAGUAUUAAUAUUGUAAAGUCGUUUCUUACACCGUUCCGUUGCCAUGAAUUCUAAGUACGUGGUUUUGGUAUGUUUCUUGGUUUUGGCGUUCGCUUUCAACUGCGUGAACGCUUCUUGCAACCCGGAUGAUUGUUGGGGUCUAUGCCGUGGCCAGUACGGUGGGGCGUUCGCAGAAACUCGAGGAGUAUGCGAAUCUUCGAACAAUGACUAUUGUCGGUGUUAUGGUAUACCCAAGCUUCUAGCAACUGGCUCACCUAUGGGUUCCGAGAUGUCAAUCAAUUGAAAAAUGCUCAAGACAUCGUAUUAAACAUCGUCGUCAGUUCAACGAGAAAACUUCAAAAAUAAUGUCAACAUUUCAAAACAUUGCAAAGUAGUAACACUUUUUGUAAUACUAUUUAUGUUAGCUUUUAUGUGUUAUACAUUAAAGGCAACUAAAUAUUAUUAUGUGUAGAUAAUAAAUAAUGAUUUUUACAAUAAAUUUGAAAUUUUCCUGAAAA